rnacentral:lncRNA from 1 species
UCUGGCGGCCGAUCCUCCAUAACACUCCCAAGUUUUGUCGACGGAUAAGCACCCACUAGCGUCGACCAGAUUCUUCACGACGGACGGACUCCACCCAAGUUUUCACGAUGAUCGACUACCUUCUAGACUGCACCCGGACUCCUACGGGAGCCAGACUUCAUCCCCAACUCCGGCUGCAGGAAGACUUCAUCCGGACUCCUACGGGAGCCGGACUUCGUCCCCGACUCUGACUGCAGGAAGA